CAUAAUAAAUAAUAAGAAGCUAGAAUGGGAAACCAAACUUGCUGUUCAAACAAGUUUUCGCGCAACCAUUUUUGACAUGUAUGCUGUGGUCCAGGAUCCUCAAGCCUAUAUAAACACAUGCUUAGAGCUAGAUCAUGUACACCAUAUCUAUUCAUUCAAGCAGUACGCAAUAACUAAGGCAAAAAUGACAGGUAACUCUCUGAAGUCUAUUAUGGUGACCCUCUUCAUCUUUGCUAUGGUACUGUCUCCGAUACUGCCAUCUGCUGAAGCAGGCCGUUUGAAUUAUCGAGGUCUCCAAUCUGGACCAAUAUGUCCAACUUGUGUAUGCUGCUCACCUCCACCUCCAGGGUCCUGCUGCCCAUGUUGUUCUACUCCUAUAGAACCCUGAAUCUACAACUGGGUCUCCAUGAAACUAUUUACGUUCGCUUAUGAUAUUCAUACACGUAUACUGCAGGAAUAAAUUAGUAUAUAUAUGAAUAGAAAGGAUCAGUAUCACUCUCGUUAUUCUGUAUUGUGUACUCCUUUGUGGAGACAUAUAUAUCCAUGUUGUAUCAUCAUGCACUGGCAAUUUCAAUAAAUCAACGUCCUUAAUUAUUUUAGUAA